AGAAAAUCGCUCGGAGCUUUGGGCCCCGCAAAGUAAUGAGAAACUAUUUAUAGAUGCACAGUCAUACUAACCAUUACGGACCAUUACGGACGGAUGUCAGGGAUCUGGAAACACGGCUAAAAUUUUCCACAAUUUUACUAUGAUAUUCAGUAGAGCGUCAGACAGAGUGGCUGUCAGUAAAAUACACUUUCCGUGCGUACAACGCGUCGAAAUCACAUGUUCCCCCAAUGCUUGAGAACUUGUAAAAGCAUCCAAUUUGAAUUCUCCGAACGCAUCAGUCUAACUUUGUUUUUUUCCUACUUUUGAUGUGGGAAUUUGCUCCGGGAAAUUUUGAACAGUGAAUCUUGGGAUCGUGCACAACCGAAGCUCCUCGAUGGAUACUCUGUUCUUCCUACUUUCCAUGUGCCUGUGGUCAGGAUCGGUUGCAAAAGCUUUUGGAGCGUAUGGAGACGAUGAAGAGGCAAAACUAGCAGAAAAUCUUCAUAUGCUCGUGUUGAAACAGGCGGACUGGGGGGCCGACCCCUUGGUUACCCCCGAGGAAUCUGACCUCCAGCACCUGACGACGAGGGCUCCCGGAGCCCUUUUAAGAUGCAUGACGAGGAGUGGCGGAAGCCGCCGGGAGCAAGAGAGGCGGGAGCAGAUGGAGCAGAUGCGCCGAGAGAUACAAGAAACUCGCCGCCAACUAGUAGCGAGCAUGGAGCCGCCGAGUCAGCGCGGCUCUGGGAACAACCAGAGGGCGAACCAGGAGCCGGCCAGAGGCGCGCAGACCCCUCGCAACUCAAGCUCCAGGAACCGCGGAUCGCAGGUGCAGGACAUACAACAGGUCCCACAGUUCUCGGCGGAUCCCGGAUGGACGGACGUUCACGCGUACCCGCAGAUGCAACAACAACAGUCGCAGCGGCGUACCAGUGGGUACAACAGCAACUCGCGAUCCAGAUCGCAGCAGCAACUGACCGUCAACAUCCCGCAGACACCGGCCGCACCGAACGGACAGAGGUGGUGGCAUACUGGGUCCCGCUCACCUCCCCAAGCCCUAUCACCAACUUCUGGAAACCCCAUCCAUUAUGAUUAGAAACGCUGACGAAGCGCAGAACUGAACUGGGGUAUCCGUGUGGGCUGUGGGGAGAGGUGGGGCAUGUAAGCAAAUCGUUCGGUCAAAUACUGUUGACGAAGUCCGUAAACAGUUUACGUUUGUACAUCAUCAAAACAUACUUUAUUUAACAUCUAUAAAUCGGAUUAAUACAGUGAUGAACUUUAUCGCAAAAUUUCGUGUUUUUCAUGAAAAUGGUGCAUGUGUGAGGAAUUUGCGAUCUGACUGUUAAUUCUUAUGUAAAAGUUCGCGAGAAACACGUUGGUGCCACUGGUUUUUUUCUGAAAUCAACUCCCAAGCUCAAAAACAGCUCUCAAGUUGAGGCCAAAAUGGAAGGGAUAUCCCAUGCUAUCCUGAAAGUCCACCUCUACAUCAAGACGAACUCUCCAUACAAAAGAUAGGGAGCAAAUACAUUGACAGGGCUGCCGUUUUGUUCGGGGACUCUAAAACUGAAAAAAUGUCAUCACUGCUGAUGUAUUUGCUCCCUAUCUUUGCAUAGAGAGUUUGUCUUGAUGUAGACGUGGACUCUCAGGAUAGCGUGAGAUAUCCCCUCCAUUUUGGUCUCAACUUGAGAGCUUUUUUUGAGCUUGGGAGUUGGUUUCAGAGAAAACCAGUGGCACCAUCGAGUUCCUCGCGAACUUUUACAUGAGAAUCAAUAGUCAAAUCGCAAAUUCCUUACACACGCAACAUUUCCAUUAAAUGUAAUUUAAUUCUGUUCAACAGUUUACGGCUUCGUAAACGUGCUCCAGACCACGUUAUCGAAACUGUUGACGAUUCUGGUUAAGAGAGUGAAACCCAUCAACUGUCCUUUCAAUAGGCCACCGGGCUCUGAUUGGUAGAUGAAAAUACCAACUUCGUUAAAUGCGCAGGACAACUGUUUACGGAUUUCGUCAACGUUUGACGAACGAAAAUUUGCUUAAAUAAUUAUCGCGAAAAACAUUCCAAAUGCGUGCUUAGCAAAUGACGGGUAGUAACCAUUGUAAUAAUAAAUCAUUCUGGAUACUUUAAGUUCAAUAAAUUGGCUGCUUUUUUGGGCUCCAAGAAGAGAUACAUGACCUACCCACCAAAAUUACCAAUAGGUCCAUACUCUCAGCUGACACAGCCAGGAUAGGACUGAUAGUCACAUUUUUAAUGAAUGCGUCAGUUGAGCUAGUCACAUAAAUGUGUUUUGAUAAUUCCAGAUUUUAGAUCAGCGAAAAAUAAUAAUAUCUGUUCAAACACCAAAACUCUACGUCCGAUAUCGACGCAAAUAUCCGUGACACACACGGCAUGUGACGUGAUCCUUCGUGACAGUGUCUACCACGCCUCCUUCCAGCUUCGUUUCAUCUUCAAAAAUCAGUGCAAAUGUAUCACUAAUAGAUGAAUUCACGAUAGGAGAAACCACGGUAAGUAUAGACUACCGUAUACUGCCGUGAUAGCCAAGACAGCAAUAAGUGCAUUUCUGUUUGAGCCAUCGUUAGCACAUGCUACCAUGUGUCUCAAGGUUCAUCCCAGCGUGCACUUACUGCUCUCUUCGUUAUCAUGGCAGUAGGGUGCGGCUUAUACGAGAAAUUAAAAAUGUUGAAUUUUGAAAUUGACAAGGGACCCCGCCAAAACGUUCCUAAUAGUGCAAUUUUAAGGGCCCGUCGGGACCUCUAAAUGUUGACCAAAUGCAAAACUGUUCUACAACGUUUGUUUUUACUCUAUCAGGAACGUUUAGGCGGGGUCCCUUGUCAAUUUCAAAAUUCAACCUUUUUAAUUUCUCGUAUAAGCCGCACCCUAUCAUGGCAGCGUAGUGGAUGACGUCUUACUCCGUGUUUUUCGAAAAGCCAUGUGUUCGUUAAAAUUUGAUGUGGUAUUCACAUCUUUAAGCAGAUCGAAUCACUUCCUGCUGAUCUAUGGACUUAAACCAUCAAAAUACUAGUGACUAUACUACUAUACUAGUGACUAUACUUGUGACUAGCGCAACUGACCCCACCUAUUAUGUUCAUGUCCGUGGUGAAAACUGCAGGAUUUUCUCCUUCUUUCUCUCUCCUCUCUUACUGCAAAAAUAGACACUCACAAUGUAUAUUGUUGUCUGCGAAGACAGAUGUCAGUGUAACUGAUCCCGUGAAGUUGCAUGCGUUCAUCAUGAGUCUGAGUCUUAAGUACUUUUUCCAGAAUUUUCGAAUAAAUCCACGUGUACAACGCGGUGAGGCUCAAUUUUUAACACCUGGAAAAUUCCCAAUAUAGCACAUUGCAACAGCCACGUCAAUUUUUCUGGCCUCCACCUGGCGAGAGCACAUUAAAGCUCCCAUUGAAAAAAAGACAGCAAAACAAUUAUAAAAAAAAAUUCAGAAACGUGCGAGGGAAAAGCUAUGCAUGAAGCUUUUUUGAAUCCAUCAAUUUUUAAAAUGGCUUCUGAGUGCAAAAUAAAACCGGAGCAGAAUACUAUACGAGUAUGCUUUCACGAAAUUGCGACUCUUCAGUGAUACGAUUGAAUAUGUGGACGCCUUUAAAUAAAAAAUGAACUAUAUCCAUCGUGAUAUGAGACCAGGCAUGCAUGUACUCCUGUGGAUCUCAAGGUUCGUGUCAGAAUGUAUAUUGUUCAUUCUGAUCUAAGCACGUCCUAUUGAAGCGCAUCACUGGUAAAAAAAACCUCUUGGUUCAAGAGUGCAGUUUCUUGUCGCCGGAUUUAAGAGUCUGGACUCUUGUUUCAAUGCAAAAUCCGCUUGAAUCAAUGCAAAAUCCGCUUGAAAGAAGACUUAAGUCAAUGCAAUGCGGCAUUGGUCCGAGCGGUUUUUUCACCAGUGCAGCCGAAUAAGCGAAGAAGUAUUGGAUAAACUAUAAUUAUUUUUGAACUUUGCCUUUACUUUUUACAACGGGUGGUUUUUAGGUUUUUUCUUGGCAAAUGGAAAUUUCAUCAAAAGUUCAUAGAUUUGAACAGGGACUAAAGUGCCCUUACCCGAAAGGAGAUAAAUUACUCAAAUUAAAAACCCAAAAUAGAAUGAAAAUAGUGCCAGGAAAGGCUGGACAUGAUAAAUAUACGAAUUGGAAAAAUCAACUAAAUAUAAAUAACCACACUCUUGGAUUCCGGGUUGGAAUCCCGCUGGUAGAAACAAAGUUUCGGCCGAAAUAUUCGAUCGUAUACUUAGCUAAACUCUACCAAGCGCAAGAUCGGUACCGCUUCUUCGAUUCAUGCCCGGGCAGCCGUGCAUAGAUUUUCUGUGCAUGGA
rnacentral:lncRNA from 1 species